rnacentral:rRNA from 1 species
UACGAAGGGGACUAGCGUUGUUCGGAAUUACUGGGCGUAAAGCGCGCGCAGGCGGUUCUCCAAGUCAGUGGUGAAAGCCCGGAGCUCAACUCCGGAACUGCCAUUGAAACUGUUGAACUUGAGGACGAGAGAGGUGAGUGGAAUUCCCAGUGUAGAGGUGAAAUUCGUAGAUAUUGGGAAGAACACCGGUGGCGAAGGCGGCUCACUGGCUCGUUUCUGACGCUCAGGCGCGACAGCGUGGGGAUCAAACAGG